UAUAUGAAGUCGGAAUUGCUAGUAAUCGCGGAUCAGCAUGCCGCGGUGAAUACGUUCCCGGGCCUUGUACACACCGCCCGUCACACCAUGAGAGUCGAUAACACCCGAAGCCUGUAGUCUAACCAUAUGGGGGACGCAGUCGAAGGUGGGAUUGAUAAUUAGGGUGAAGUCGUAACAAGGUAUC
rnacentral:rRNA from 1 species